rnacentral:ribozyme from 21 species
CAGUUAAAAGGAAAUUUCAUAGCCGCCAUUAUGGUCAGGGAAAUUAGGGCCAAAGUCGUUGCGGCUACCCAGAACAUAGCUGUAUUUUUCAUCUUUUUUUUUUUUUUUUUUUUUUAAUUUUUUUUUUUUUUUUUUU